rnacentral:rRNA from 1 species
UACAGAGGUCUCAAGCGUUGUUCGGAUUCAUUGGGCGUAAAGGGUGCGUAGGCGGCGCGGUAAGUCGGGUGUGAAAUCUCGGAGCUUAACUCCGAAACUGCAUUCGAUACUGCCGUGCUUGAGGACUGGAGAGGAGACUGGAAUUUACGGUGUAGCGGUGAAAUGCGUAGAUAUCGUAAGGAAGACCAGUGGGCGAAAGGCGGG